rnacentral:rRNA from 1 species
UACAGGGGGGGCAAGCGUUGUUCGGAAUUACUGGGCGUAAAGGGCUCGUAGGUGGCCAACUAAGUCAGACGUGAAAUCCCUCAGCUUAACUGGGGAACUGCGUCUGAUACUGGAUGGCUUGAGUUUGGGAGAGGGAUGCGGAAUUCCAGGUGUAGCGGUGAAAUGCGUAGAUAUCUGGAGGAACACCGGUGGCGAAGGCGGCAUCCUGGACCAACACUGACGCUGAGAAGCGAAAGCAUGGGGAGCGAACAGG